rnacentral:rRNA from 1 species
GACGAACGCUGGCGGCGUGCUUAACACAUGCAAGUCGAACGGAAAGGCCCUGCUUUUGCGGGGUGCUCGAGUGGCGCACGGGUGAGUAACACGUGUGUAACCUGCCCUUGACUUUGUGAUAACUUCAGGAAAAUGGGGCUAAUACCGGAUAGGAGCUCCUGCUGCAUGGUGGGGGUUGGAAAGUUUCGGCGGUUGGGGAUGGACUCGCGGCUUAUCAGCUUGUUGGUGGGGUAGUGGCUUACCAAGGCUUUGACGGGUAGCCGGCCUGAGAGGGUGACCGGCCACAUUGGGACUGAGAUACGGCCCAGACUCCUACGGGAGGCAGCAGUGGGGAAUAUUGCACAGUGGGCGGAAGCCUGAUGCAGCAACGCCGCGUGCGGGAUAACGGCCUUCGGGUUGUAAACCGCUUUCGCCUGUGACGAAGCGUGAGUGACGGUAAUGGGUAAAGAAGCACCGGCUAACUACGUG